rnacentral:rRNA from 1 species
AUUGAACGCUGGCGGCAUGCUUUACACAUGCAAGUCGAACGGUAACAGGCCGCAAGGUGCUGACGAGUGGCGAACGGGUGAGUAAUGCAUCGGAACGUGCCCAGUCGUGGGGGAUAACGCAGCGAAAGCUGUGCUAAUACCGCAUACGAUCUAUGGAUGAAGGCGGGGGACCGUAAGGCCUCGCGCGAUUGGAGCGGCCGAUGUCAGAUUAGCUAGUUGGUGGGGUAAAGGCCCACCAAGGCGACGAUCUGUAGAUGGUCUGAGAGGACGACCAGCCACACUGGGACUGAGACACGGCCCAGACUCCUACGGGAGGCAGCAGUGGGGAAUUUUGGACAAUGGGCGCAAGCCUGAUCCAGCAAUGCCGCGUGCAGGAAGAAGGCCUUCGGGUUGUAAACUGCUUUUGUACGGAACGAAACGGUCUGGGUUAAUACCCUGGGCUAAUGACGGUACCGUAAGAAUAAGCACCGGCUAACUACGUGCCAGCCGCCGCCGUAACAC